rnacentral:rRNA from 1 species
AUGAAAAUAAUCCAUGAAGCUAUUGACAUGAUACGUGAGCUGAUGAAGUAUAUUGACUCUUCUCCUUCAAGACUUCAAGAUUUCAAUACAACUGCAAGUGGGAUGGGUCUACAUGCAAAGAAAGGCAUCUCUGUUGAUACACCAACCAGAUGGAACUCAACCUGGAAAAUGCUUGUAGAAGCAUUGACAUACAAAUCUGUUCUCACUAGUUAUGCCAACAGAAAGAUGAUAGAUUCUCCAAGUGAGGAGGAAUGGGAGAAGGCAAAAGCUAUUUGUGAGUUUCUAAAAGCUUUUGAAGAGCUUACUUUGAUUGUUUCAGCUCAUAGGAAACCUCUGAUGUGUUGA